AUAUUUCAUCUUUAUUUUAACAGGGGGUGAUGCUGAGACCAAAGUCUCUUUCAAAGAUAUAUACACUACACAUCAACACAUGUUCAUAUCACACACCAUAUCUACCUAGAUACAGUAAGAGGUUACUGGCUAGCUAGGUGACAUUACAGACAAUAUUACACACCAUAUCUACCUAGAUACAGUAAGAGGUUACUGGCUAGCUAGGUGACAUUACAGACAAUAUUACACACCAUAUCUACCUAGAUACAGUAAGAGGUUACUGGCUAGCUAGGGGACAUUACAGACAAUAUCACACACCAUAUCUACCUAGAUACAGUAAGAGGUUACUGGCUAGCUAGGGGACAUUACAGACAAUAUUACACACCAUAUCUACCUAGAUACAGUAAGAGGUUACUGGCUAGCUAGGUGACAUUACAGACAAUAUUACACACCAUAUCUACCUAGAUACAGUAAGAGGUUACUGGCUAGCUAGGGGACAUUACAGACAAUAUCACACACCAUAUCUACCUAGAUACAGUAAGAGGUUACUGGCUAGCUAGGGGACAUUACAGACAAUAUUACACACCAUAUCUACCUAGAUACAGUAAGAGGUUACUGGCUAGCUAGGGGACAUUACAGACAAUAUCACACACCAUAUCUACCUAGAUACAGUAAGAGGUUACUGGCUAGAUAGGUGACAUUACAGACAAUAGUACACACCAUAUCUACCUAGAUACAGUAAGAGGUUACUGGCUAGCUAGGGGACAUUACACAACAUAUCCCAGACUGAACUCAAGACCAGUGAUGUUGAAAGGCUUGCUAUAAAUAGCAGACCACUUUGAUUUUUCUUCCCUCCUUUCCUUACCUCCUCUAUUUCUCCCUGUUGUCUGUACUUAAAGCAGAGGUCAGAGGUCAGGUUAAAGCAGGAGGCUCUGUCGGUCUCUACUCCUGCAGGCUAUCAAGACUAAAUUGAGUCACAGCAUUUCUAUUCACUUGAGCGAGAUGAGUCUAUGAUCAUUCUACCUGCUAUGAUGAGUCUACUAAAUACAAUGGAUAAGUUUAUAUGUUUAGGAGUCAAGACAACCAAUAAAUAUAAUGAAUUACAAUGUUAGUUCUUAUCCCAAACCCACCCAAGAGUGAUGUUAGUUUUCCAUUCUAAGCUGCAGUUAAUUUCCUUACUGACUUCAUUACAGCUUGCAUAGCGAUGCACAGCGAUAGAUCAGCCACUCCCAGGUACUGUUCACUAUGACCUGUUGGGUCAGGCUGCUGCCU